rnacentral:rRNA from 1 species
CCGAUGGCGACCGGCGCACGGGUGAGUAACACGUAUCCAACCUGCCGAUAACUCGGGGAUAGCCUUUCGAAAGAAAGAUUAAUAUCCGAUAGGAUAUCAAGAUCGCAUGAUCUUGAUAUUAAAGAAUUUCGGUUAUCGAUGGGGAUGCGUUCCAUUAGUUAGUUGGCGGGGUAACGGCCCACCAAGACGACGAUGGAUAGGGGUUCUGAGGGGAAGGUCCCCCACAUUGGAACUGAGACACGGUCCAAACUCCUACGGGAGGCAGCAG